AUUGAACGCUGGCGGCAUGCCUUACACAUGCAAGUCGAACGGCAGCACGGGUGCUUGCACCUGGUGGCGAGUGGCGAACGGGUGAGUAAUACAUCGGAACGUACCUUAUCGUGGGGGAUAACGCAGCGAAAGCUGUGCUAAUACCGCAUACGCCCUGAGGGGGCAAGCGGGGGAUCGCAAGACCUCGCGCGAUUAGAGCGGCCGAUGCCUGAUUAGCCAGUUGGUGGGGUAAAAGCCCGCCAAGGCGACGAUCAGUAGCUGGUCUGAGAGGACGAUCAGCCACACUGGGACUGAGACACGGCCCAGACUCCUACGGGAGGCAGCAGUGGGGAAUUUUGGACAAUGGGGGCAACCCUGAUCCAGCAAUGCCGCGUGAGUGAAGAAGGCCUUCGGGUUGUAAAGCUCUUUUGUCAGGGAAGAAACACCGGCUCUAACACAGUCCGGGAAUGACGGUACCUGAAGAAUAAGCACCGGCUAACUACGUGCCAGCCGCCGCCGUAA
rnacentral:rRNA from 1 species